rnacentral:lncRNA from 1 species
UUUAUUUGCUAACAGCCGUUAACCACCGAAAAAGCCUCCCGCCGCUUCUCAAUAAAGCUAUAACCACCACUUUGCCGCCGUGGAAAAUUAACCUUCGGAAAUCCAAAAAUGGCAUCAUCCAGUGCGCUCUCGCAGCUCAACAAUUUGAAUUCACGAGUCGUUAUCUCUACUGUCCAUGAAAAUGCAUUUCGCAGAAGAAAUGCAAGAUUUCGAAUGGCAGCGUCAAGUAAUAGUGGAAGUGGAGAAGUGGCAGUGGCAUUCGAGGAGGGACAGUUGGAAAGACCUAAAUGGAUUGGUGAAACCCCAGUUUCUCGCUUUGUUGGAGCUCUCAUUUCCUUCAAACCUUUAUAUUCCGUACUCAAACUCGGUGCAAGACAAGUCCUCAUCAGGUCAAUUUAUACUGCAUUGGGCUAGCGUUUAUGUGUCAUGUGUGUGUGUGUGUGUGUCCCCCCCCCCCCGGAUUUUUAAGAUUAUGGGUUUGAAUUAUUUGGUGUUGAUUUCAUUUUGAUGAAAAAAAAAUGAAAUUUGGAUUUGGGUUGGAACAGUACAGCUGAGAAAACCAACAUUCCGUGGAGGGAAAUGACAAAGGAGGUUUUGGAAUCGGAUGUGUACCGGAAGCUGGAGACCAUUGAGGACGGCUCAAUUGUGUAUCCUGAUUGUAAUUUUUUAAAUUUUUAAAUUUUUCUUUAUUCGUGUUUUCACAGUUCUAUUGGAUUCAAGUAAAUAGAUUUCAUUCACAUGAUCAUAUUCAAGUUUAGUAAUGGAUAAUGCCAUAAUGGACUUCUCUAUCUUUUCAUGUAUUGAUAUCAGAAUUUUAUCUCCUGAAUGUGGUUAUAUUUCUUUUCUUUUCU